UACGGAGGGUGCGAGCGUUGUCCGGAAUUACUGGGCGUAAAGCGUGCGCAGGCGGUGAUGUAAGACAGGUGUGAAAUCCCCGGGCUUAACCUGGGAACUGCAUUUGUGACUGCAUUGCUGGAGUGCGGCAGAGGGGGAUGGAAUUCCGCGUGUAGCAGUGAAAUGCGUAGAUAUGCGGAGGAACACCGAUGGCGAAGGCAAUCCCCUGGGCCUGCACUGACGCUCAUGCACGAAAGCGUGGGGAGCAAACAGG
rnacentral:rRNA from 1 species